GUCGAACGCUGGCGGCGUGCCUAACACAUGCAAGUCGAGCGGAAAGGCCCUUCGGGGUACUCGAUCGGCGAACGGGCGAGUAACACGUGCGUAACCUUCUCCCGACUUUUGGAUAAUCACCGGCGACGGCGGCUACUACUGCAUCCUACACCGCUUCGCAUGAGGUCUGUGUUGAUCGUUUUUCGGUUUGUGAUGUGCUCGUGGCCUAUCUGCUUGUUGGUGGGGUGUUGGCCUACCAAGGGGACGCCGGCUAUCCGUCCUGUGAGGGCGACCGCCCACACUGGGACUGAGACACGGCGCAGACGGCUACGGGGGGCAGCAGGGGGGAGUAUUGCCCAAUGGGCGGAAGCGUGUGGAAGCGACGCCGCGUGAGGGAAGACGGCCUUCGGGGUGUAAACCGCUUUCAGCAGAGACGAAGCGUAAGUGACGGUACCUGCAGAAGAAGCGCCGGCUAACUACGUG
rnacentral:rRNA from 1 species